GUACAGAUGAAUUUCUCAAUGUGACGCGGUUCCCUAUUACCCUUUACGGUGAUAAGGAUGAUAUAAUGAAUUGUCUUGUAUGGUAAUCACUAUAAAAUCUUUAUUUCUAACACUUAAUACUAAGCGGUACUGAUUGCUAGAUAAUCGUAGAGUGUGUUUGGUUUGAAAGUGGUUGAAAGACUGCCUGGGCUCGGGAUCCUUUUCCCGAAGUCAACUCGGUGUCCCCGUCCACCCUUCGUGCUUCCUUCUUUUUGAGUCGAGAGUGGGAACGGUUGUCCUGUCUGAUUGGUUUAAAAAAUAAUGGACAAGAUCGAGAGUUAGAAGGAGGAGGACGGCAGGGAAAGUGACCGCUCCGAAUAAUGGCCACAUGCAGGCACGGACCGUACCUAGGAGCGGCGCACAUGGGGGUUUCGCGCAUUUUAGACGUUGACCGUAGCAGGCAAUAAACCCCGGAAGUGCUUCGACUUGAAUGGUGUAUGCAGAGGAACAAUCUGAGGAUGCGGUGAUUGUCUAACAUCUGGUGCGCAACUGUUGGAUAUAACGAAACAAGGGAUGAAAUUUGAGUAAGGAACGGCUUUUCGGGAAACUGCCUGCUACGGGUGGUUUUUCGCCUGGGCCCAAGGACAGAUAGGACCGAUUGCCUGAUUUAUGUGUUUCUGCGCGGAACAUCCUCCCCCCCUUGAGAGGGAACCGAUCGAAGAGGAAUGAGUGUUUCUUAUGUAUAGUGACUAAUACUGAUGAAGCCAUGGUUGGAAAAUGAGGAAACGAUAAGGGAUUUGGUGAUGAAAUAAACGAGCCUACCUUUGCGGUGUGACGACCUUGAACCUACAGCUCCUUGUGGUCUGAGGUUGUACGUUGGAAUAACUGUUGUAGACGUGCCUCAGAAGAAGAUUGCUGAUGUCAUUCUGAGGGUGGCUGUUGAGUUUUCACCUAUUCACUGAUAUUAAAUCCGGCUCGAAGGACCAAUGUUUCCGCGUACAGAUGAAUUUCUCAAUGUGACGCGGUUCCCUAUUACCCUUUACGGUGAUAAGGAUGAUAUAAUGAAUUGUCUUGUAUGGUAAUCACUAUAAAAUCUUUAUUUCUAACACUUAA